rnacentral:snRNA from 1 species
UUGGUCGAUUAAGACAGC